rnacentral:rRNA from 1 species
UACGUAGGUGGCAAGCGUUGUCCGGAUUUACUGGGCGUAAAGAGCGCGCAGGCGGUCGUUCAAGUCGCGUGUGAAAGCCCCCGGCUCAACUGGGGAGGGUCACGCGAUACUGAUCGACUCGAAGGCAGGAGAGGGUAGUGGAAUUCCCGGUGUAGUGGUGAAAUGCGUAGAUAUCAGGAGGAACACCGAUGGCGAAGGCAGGUCUCUGGGCCACUACUGACGCUGAGAAGCGAAAGCAUGGGGAGCGAACAGG